GAGCCCAAGGGAAGAUGUUGGGGCGUGGGGGACAGCAGGGCCCAGCGCCUCUCAUCUCUCUCCCUCUGUUGACAGUGACGGCGCCGGCAGGAGUGGCACCUAUGUCCUGAUCGACAUGGUUCUCAAUAAGAUGGCCAAAGGCGCCAAGGAGAUUGACAUCGCGGCGACGCUGGAGCACCUGCGGGACCAGAGACCGGGCAUGGUCCAGACAAAGGAGCAGUUCGAGUUUGCGCUGACGGCGGUGGCCGAGGAGGUGAACACCAUUCUCAAGGCCUUUCCCCAGUGAGCCCUGCCCCGGGGGUGCUGUCUGCAGCCGCGAGAUAAUGUCACCGCGUCUCCUAGUGUCACGUCGCCUGCCUAGUGAUCAGCUCCUUAAGCCUCCGUCGUCAGUACAGUUUAGCAGUUAACAUGUGCAUUUUUCCUCAACCAAAUAAUAAUCGAGAUCUGUGGGACCAAGCAAUUACAGGGGACAAGAUCAGUUCAUCUAUUUUCACGUUCUUGAAAAAAAAAAUAUUUUUCCUUAAAGCACAGUCCACGUUCUUCGCCGCCGAUCGUGUCGCACGGAUGGCACCCGAAUGCACACAGUUUGGUCCCCGGAAGAGAGCUGGCUUGUAACCCCCUAAAGGAAGGUCAGCCGGGCAGGGAGGGGCCCAGCGAGGCUGGCAGGGCACCGAGGGAGGCCACCAGCCGGAGAAAACGCCUUUGGCUUCUGUCUGGACGAGUUUGUCACCAGGAGAAAUCAGCAGCUUAUUCAGGAGCUAGAUGACAAAACGGUGGCAUCCUGCAGCUUGGGAGCCGAUAGUAAGAAAAUCGUCACAGCGCCUGGUUCAGUCCCCCGAGCUACGACAGCCCCUCUCCCUCUGCCCCCAAGGCGGGCAGGGCCCCGGGGAGCAGACGCUUCCCCCGCCACCAGCCCCCAGGCCAGGCACCCCCAGGACGGCCUCACCCAGGCAGGGGUGGGGCUUUCACGCUAAAUGGGGGUCUGCACUUGGCAAGAACACGCCGCUAACCCCGCAGGUUGACCGAAACCAGCGAAGGCAGAGCUGGGCAUGCCUUGGGCUCCCGGCAGGCAUCUCCGCUCCCCUCUGGUGCAGGCAAGAGGCCCGCUGGCGCCCACGGGAGACAGAGAUGAGCUCACCUCGGGAGAAAUGCGGGGAGAGAGACCACAUCGUCUGCUUUCACCUGGUAGAAUCCGAGCCCCUGGGGACCGGCGAUGGCCCGGCCCUGGGCUCGGGCUCCCAUCACGCACCGGCUCCUGGCAGACGUCACGGCGAUGAUGGGAUUUGCCGGGCUCGUGCCUGAGCCCCAGGUUUACUGCCUGAAGCCGAAGAAUACAUUUCAUUAACCUGGGAUGGUCACACCUAGGAAGACAUGCUGGCUGAUCUUGGGGGGCGGAGGGGGGGGGUCUUGUUGGGAAGAAAACGCUCCUGGUAAUUCUCCCUCCAGCCGUCGACACAGUCUCUCCAUCUCGGACAGAUGUGGCAGCUCCAAAGACAGAAGGGAAUCGUGGCCGGCGGAACGGGGAGAAAGAUGCCCAAAUAUUAUCUGUGUCUUUAAAUGGUGUCGUCCCGCAGGUCCGCUUCCACAGCUCUACAAUUUCUCUCCCCGAGUGGUUUCUCUCUAUCUCGAAUCUAGAUAAUUAAUAGAACGAAUUGAUCUGAAUUUAGGAAUCGCAUACCUACGUGAAAUUUCUCACUUCUUACGUUUCUUCCAUGUGAGAUCUGAAAGCCUAUUCAAUUGUGUCCGAUUAAACUUCUGAUUUCACCCUCGACUGGUCUUUCUUUGGGAUGAGAGGGCAGGUUUUUCCCGCUCAUCCUUUGUUCCCUGCGGGUGUGGGCGUUUAGUGCAGAGACCAAGUGUGAGUUCCUUGGAACUCUGUCCUGAGCUGCUGUCUUAUCUGCAGAGCUGGGUGUGUACCAAGGGCCACCGUUGAGUGUCGCUGAGAAUUUAUUCAUUAAAAAGUGAUAAAACAACCUCCGCUAAAAGCUGGGGGGAGGGCUGUGCUUGAGUUUGCCCCCCUCUCGCCCCCGUGCUGGUCCACCUCGGCUGGCGGUGGCGACACACGACAGUCAGUGACGUCCUACAAAAUGCUGGUGCCCUUUCUCGAGGCGUCAGCCUGCAGCUCGUCCAUCCUGUGGCUCCAUCUCCCCUGGAAUCCGCCCCCCCCCCCGCCCCAGGUGUGCUUCUCAUUAGAAUCCUGCCCAGGGUUCCAGGAAGCUUCUGCUUUCCAUGUGUGGCAGUUACUGUCACUGUCACAGAGCAGCGGGGACACUUCCCACAAUAAACGCAUGUCAGAAUUUGCAUGCAGCAGACAGGGAGCCAGGCCAGGUUCCCCUCCCGCCAGCAGUAUUAACAAAUGCUGGGCCAGAUGGACUUAAAACCCCAGAGCAGACUGACGGGGUAUGGAGGGAGGCAGUGUGGGUAGAGCCGGGGGGCGCUGAGGCCGGGUCUAAGCUGUCCACUCGGACCACGAGGGGUCAGCAAGGAGCUGCUGGGAAGUGCUCACAACCCGCUCACGAAGAAUGGACAGAGAUGCAGCUGGUUCAUUAUGAGAUGCACAGCACAGCACCGACGAGGACACACAGCCCACUGUCCGGCCGAGGUCUCGGAGCUCACGGAUUCCCACAGGGGGCUGGGUUCAGGUUUUGCGGAAUCCCUGGUCUGUAGCCGCCCAGUGGCCACGGCUGGGGAACGCGUGUGGCUCCAGCAUGAGUCCUGGCUGACGGGUUCACCUCAACAGGUGACGUGGUCAGAACUCACCUCCUUCACUAGUGAUGCCAACAGCUUUUUGCCGGCCUGGAUGGUGGUUUCUGAGCCUGGGGGAGUCCGGCCUGCAUUUUGAUGUGGAUCCCAGACGUGAGGCUUUGCAGACAUGCCUCACUUUUUUUUUUUCCUUCAUGCACCUGCAGCAUAUGGAGGUUCCCAGGUGAGGGGUCCAAUCAGAGCUACAGCUGCCGACCUGCGCCACAGCCACAGCAACGAGGGAUCCGAGCAGCAUCUGUGACCUACACCCCAGCUCAGGGAAACACUGAUCCUUAACCCACUGAGUGAGGCCAGGAAUCGAACCCGCACCCUCACGGUUCCUGGUCAGAUUCGUUUCUGCUGCACCAUAAUGGGAACUCCAUGGCUCACAUUUAAGUUUCAUCAGCAUGAUUGCCCUUGUUUCAAGCGUAGGCAACGAACAGGACAAAAAUAAAGCUGCGAUUCAUCAAAUCUGCUGAUGUCUAUGAUGGAAACACCCACUAUGCAUGGUUUUAAUGUGGAUUCACUGGACAGAAACCAGUGAAUGGGAGAAGAUGGGGCCCUGGGAGCCCUGGGGCGACGCGGUCAGGACAGGAGGCGCUGAGCUUCCAGUGUUUACUGCCUGUGUGUUCAUCGGAUUUGUCUGUUACUAUAAUUUAAUUUUAUCAGUGGCUGUAUACAACAACCGGCUCAGGAAAUUCCUCAAAGUUCAACGAUCUGAGCCUGCGAGUCCGCACAAGCUGGCUACGCUGUGCCCCUGCGACGGAGCCGCGUGAGGAUGGAGGGGUUUGGAGAACAGUGGCGCCGGUUCCGCAGCCUGGCGCUCCUGUCUCAGCUGCGCAGCCCUGAGCUGGCCCAGAUCCCGACGCCAAGUUCCAGAUCGGAGCCGGCAGCCAGCACCUGUUUGGAGUUUUAUUAUCAGCGUGAGACUUUCUUCUCAAUUGGCGCUGGGACCAGCCUGGACGUCUCCCAACCACGGGGAGGCUCUCUUCCCCAGUGACACCCAGCACUUAGUGUGCACCAAGGGUAUACCCUGCUCAGGAGGUUGGGGGGGCGGGCAGCAGGAGCUACGGGCCCAGGUCCUCAAGACCAACAAGAAACACUGGGUCCGGGAGGCUGCUGGGCCAAACGUGAGGCCGCCUGGACCCGUGUCCUCACCAGAUGCCAGUGAGCCCAUCACUGCAGCAGGGGGCGCAGGGGCUACACGGCCACAGAGCCAACGUGGGCAGGUGGCCUGAUGCUCGCUGCCACCCCUGCCCCACGUCUCCUGGGCACAGGCGUCAAACCCCCGACCUUUCCAACACCAAGGGCGUAAUCGCCCGGCAGUUCAAGGGUGCGUUCUCUGAAAUCGUGGCUGCAGACGAAGACGAAAUUCAAAAAGCUAUUAGCGGCGAUCUUUCCAAAAAAAGACGAAAGCUCUGCGUGCUGCAGUCCCGUGGAGCAGGACCGGCAGGCCUGGGCCGUGAUGGUGACACCCUCAGUCUGGGACACCCACUCGGGGGUGGGACUGGGCUCGCUGAGUCCUUGAAACCGCCCGCGCGUCACACGCGCACACCAGCUGGCCCCAAGCUGUGUUAAAAUCGCGCCUCUGCUGGGAGUUCCGAGCCCUCGUGUGAGGAUGGGAGGUCACCGUCCCUGUGACUCGGGGCCGGCGUCACACUCGCUCUGCUGUCCCGCCCCCGCCUGCCCCUCCCUCUGCAACACAAGCUGCGUGGUUUCCCUCAGCUCGAGCCCUGCUGGUCCAGACUUCUGCAUCCUCCUCCGAGACCCCCGCGGUCCUGGGGGCCCGCUCAGCCCUCCCCGCCCACACCAAGGCCAUUUGCCACCUCGGCCUGGCACCCGCUGAGGCGCUGCGGCCGGGGCUGCGGGGCCCGUGCUCGGUCCGCCCUGCCCAGCCGCGUGGCUGAGAGCAGCAUCUCUCGGGGCCUGGGGUGGACGCGGCACAUCGGAACCCCCCCAAGCCUCCGCGCCAGCCAGGGCCACCGUCAGAGGCAGUUCCUGGGCCUCCUGGCGGGGCUGCUGCUCACCAGUUUACCAGGUGCCACUAGCCGCUGGGAUGGAUCUGGGAAGCUUUGAUGUUUUAAUUCCAGAAUGAACAUCAUACGUUGAAGAGGCCGGCUUGCUCACCCUUCAAGCUCCCUGCGCAUCCCCCCCACCCCACUCUUGCUUUCAAAUGCGUUCGAGAAACCACCACGUUCGUCCCGUGGGGGAAUGACAGCCGUAUUAUAUGUAAUGUGUGUUGUGUGCUUUCUUAAUCAAGUAGAACCUAAUAAAAACCCUUCAU
rnacentral:lncRNA from 1 species